CACGGUGUGAGCAAUUUGUCUAGGAACGGGUUAAUUUGAAAUUCGGCUUCACCCAGAGAUAGGAGAAGUUGUUUUGUGUUCAAGGUCGAAAAUCAGUGCGGACUAUGCUAAGUGCAAAGGAAAACUGCUUUGCACUUGUGGAACAUAGAGACGGGCAAACCGAAGGCAGUACAGAUUGCGGAAUUGGAAUUAUAUUUGCAAAGCUUAACUUCCCAGUGAGACAUGUUGUUUAAAAGCAGGAGUUAACAAUAGGAAAGCAAGCCGGAAAGCAUCUGUGAUAAUGCAAAUUAACUAACUGAUAAGGUGGAGGCCGCUGAAACCAAGGCUGUCUAAGAAACACAUACGAGAAAAUAUGGGAUAAUCAAAGAAAACUAAUGCCAGCUGCACAGCAUUCAACGUACCUUGAUU